rnacentral:rRNA from 1 species
AACGAACGCUGGCGGCAUGCCUAACACAUGCAAGUCGAACGAGACCUUCGGGUCUAGUGGCGCACGGGUGCGUAAUGCGUGGGAACCUGCCCUUAGGUUCGGAAUAACUCCCCGAAAGGGGUGCUAAUACCGGAUAAUGUCUUCGGACCAAAGAUUUAUCGCCUUUGGAUGGGCCCGCGUUGGAUUAGCUAGUUGGUAGGGUAAAAGCCUACCAAGGCGACGAUCCAUAGCUGGUCUGAGAGGAUGAUCAGCCACACUGGGACUGAGACACGGCCCAGACUCCUACGGGAAGCAGCAGUGGGGAAUAUUGGACAAUGGGCGAAAGACUGAUCCAGCAAUGCCGCGUGAGUGAUGAAGGCCUUAGGGUUGUAAAGCUCUUUUACCCGGGAUGAUAAUGACAGUACCGGGAGAAUAAGCUCCGGCUAACUCCGUG